rnacentral:rRNA from 1 species
UACGUAGGUGGCAAGCGUUGUCCGGAUUUAUUGGGUUUAAAGGGUGCGUAGGCGGCUUUGUAAGUCAGCGGUGAGAUACUCUAGCUUAACUAGAGGGGUGCCAUUGAUACUGCAGAGCUUGAGUACAGAUGAGGUAGGCGGAAUUGACGGUGUAGCGGUGAAAUGCAUAGAUAUCGUCAAGAACACCGAUAGCGAAGGCAGCUUACUGGACCAUAACUGACGCUGAGACACGAAAGCGUGGGUAGCAAACAGG